rnacentral:rRNA from 1 species
UGAAAUUUCGAGGCUCAACCUCGAACUUGCAGUGGGUACGGGCAGGCUAGAGUGCGGUAGGGGAGAUGGGAAUUCCUGGUGUAGCGGUGGAAUGCGCAGAUAUCAGGAGGAACACCAAUGGCGAAGGCACAUCUCUGGGCCGUAACUGACGCUGAGGAGCGAAAGCGUGGGGAGCGAACAGGAUUAGAUACCCUGGUAGUCCACGCCGUAAACGGUGGGUGCUAGCUGUGGGCCACAUUCCACGUGGUCCGUGACGAAGUUAACACAUUAAGCACCCCGCCUGGGGAGUACGGCCGCAAGGCUAAAACUCAAAGGAAUUGACGGGGGCCCGCACAAGCGGCGGAGCAUGCGGAUUAAUUCGAUGCAACGCGAAGAACCUUACCAAGGCUUGACAUAUAGAGGAAAAGUGCAGAAAUGUACUCCCCGCAAGGUCUCUAUACAGGUGGUGCAUGGUUGUCGUCAGCUCGUGUCGUGAGAUGUUGGGUUAAGUCCCGCAACGAGCGCAACCCUCGUCCUAUGUUGCCAGCACGUAAUGGUGGGAACUCAUGGGAUACUGCCGGGGUCAACUCGGAGGAAGGUGGGGAUGACGUCAAAUCAUCAUGCCCCUUAUGUCUUGGGCUUCACGCAUGCUACAAUGGCCGGUACAGAGGGCUGCAAUACCGUAAGGUGGAGCGAAUCCCAAAAAGCCGGUCUCAGUUCGGAUUGAGGUCUGCAACUCGACCUCAUGAAGUCGGAGUCGCUAGUAAUCGUAGAUCAGCAACGCUACGGUGAAUACGUUCCCGGGCCUUGUACACACCGCCCGUCAAGUCACGAAAGUCGGUAGCACCCGAAGCCGGUGGCCUAACCGUAAGGAGGGAGCCGUCGAAGGUGGGAUUGGUGAUGGGACUAAGUCGUAACAAGGUAACCGUA